rnacentral:lncRNA from 1 species
CGGCCGCCGGCGACCUGGGCCUACUUCCACUUCCGGGGUCACCAGGGAAGAGACGGGAAGGAAAAGAAAUAGCGGUUGGCUGAGAGGCAAGCCAAUCCAGCUAGGGCUGCGUCGACUCCAAGGAGGCGGUCCUAAGGAAGUACUGGCCCCGCCAUUUAAAGGCCCCUCCCUCCGCGUGUGGGAAUGGGAUUCCCGCAGGUUGCACCGCAGGAAGCAAGACAAAACCAGGGAGCUCAGAAGAGUCACUGCCCUGAUCCCUUCCGUGCCGGCAGCUGCGAGGACACAGGCCCCUUUGUAUCCUGCGGUGCGGAGGUGGAGCAGAGGAGAGGGUGCCCCGGCUGGCCCCCUCCCUCGCCCCGCAGCACUGCCCCUCCUUUCACAGCAACCCACGGCCUCCCCCGCGCUUGACCCAGCUGGCGAGCUGCCCCUUAUACCUGGAUCCGCCCCUCGGGUCGCAGCUCCCCAGGCCCGAUCACCGAGCGGUGCCUAGGAACUGGGAGCGUAACUUGGCUCGGCUCAGAACUUUGCCCGUGAGCCAAAGAACACUGAACUCAUCUACCUGCUGCUUGACAUCUCAUCUGCAUACCAAGCUAUUUGGUGGACGUCCACAAGCGCCCCCGCCCCCACGUAGACCCAGUUGGGUCCCCGUUCCGUCGGUCCCCUCCUCUGCACACGCCUCUAGCCUUAUACCCCGUCUUGAUCCGAAAGUUUUUCCACCCAUGAACCCCCAGUUGGCGCUCCCCGACCAGCAAAAGCCCCUUCCCUGGUCCACGAUCCCGACCACCCGGUUCUCCAGGAGACAAUACUCCAAUUCUCUGGAAAGUGGAAGAAACCAAGCUGAAGCUAGGGGGGCGCUGGGACCCCUAUUGGGGCUUUGAGAGCUUCCGGUUGUCAUCUCCUAAGUAUUCGGAGACCCUUCUCCAAAACUCUUGGGGUGACCCUCAAGACUCUUACCUGCUAUAUAGUUGGGGGUCUCUGGUCCUGGACUAGAGCAGUAGGCAACCUGGGUCCCCCCACACACACGGGAAAGAAUUGGAGGGGCCUGCCUUGUGAUGUCACCCCUCCUCCCCCCACCGCGCGCACGCGCGCGCGCACACACACAAACACAAACACACACCCCAACACACACGCCCUGUCCCCUUUCUCCACCCUGCAAGCUAGUUGCAUUUAGCUCACAGAGCCUGGGCUGCGACUUGAAAGAGUUUAGGCAGCAACAGAGUGACCCUGGGGGUGCUCUUGACCGACAGCCGCACCCCCGGCGUCUAGGACCUCCGAGCAGGGAUGCAUCUGGAGGUCUAGGGAAGCACUUCCACCCCCUCCUCUCCUCAAUCCUGGCAGGAUGUGCCCGAAAUGCCAGCUCCUCCUUGGUGUUCUCCUUUCAGGAUUUGAAUUCAAAUCCCAUUGGCAGCCCUGAUACCGCUGGGGGAAGGGUGAGUGAGCCAUUCCUCUCCCUUGGAAUUCAUCAGAGUCAUCCCUGUAGAGCCCCCUUCCUGCCUCUCAAUUCCUCCUGCCUCACUUCCCAGGCUACUGCUGCUUCAAGACAGUGACGUUUCUCUCCGGUCAGCUGUCAGGAGCGCUGCUGGGUCUUACUGGGGAUCUGGCCAGCCUUGGGGGCCCUUGGAGCCCUGGCCCAGUGGAAGCUCGUGCCUGAGGAACAUGGAGGCCACGCUAAUGAGUUACUUCCAGAGUCUUCAAGAGUGCCAACUGGGACCAGGACCCCAGACCACAGCCCCCCACACCGUCCUGGACCUGGAUUCUGACUGUGGUUCCACUGUACCCCUCACCUUAAUCUCUGGUUCUAACCAGACCUGAGCCUAGACUUCCACUUUUUCCCUUACCCCUGUGAGGGCCUGGGAACACUAGGUGGGCAGGGUUUGAGCCCACAGGACCUGCACACAAACUUCCCCACCUCUUGGACUUGGGGACAGGAUCUGUGCCUCAACCCAGACCAGCUUUGUAGGGAUAUGUUCCAAGAACAGAGAAGAGUCUUAUGGGGAAGGGGGAGGAAGGGAAGUAUGAAUAUUUACCUCUGACCAAUAAUAGAGGUGCCCUGGUCCCCAAAGAAAUUGACUCCCGAAUUCCCUCCAAGCCUUACCCAUAUAGCUUUUGUUUGUUUGUUUGUUUUCAGACAAGGUCUUGUUCUGUCCAGUGCCGUGGCGUGACCACAGCUCAUGACAACUUUGAUUUCCCCGGCCCAAGCGAGCCUCUCAUUCAGCCUCCUGAGUGGCUGGGACCACAGACGCCACACACAGCUAAUUUUUAUGUAUUCGUUUUUAUUUUUUUGCAGAGACAGGGUCUCCCUAUGUUGCCCAAGCUGGUCUUGAACUCCUGGGCUCAAGUGAUCCUCCUGCUUCAGCCUCCCAAAGUGCUAGGAUUAUAGCCACCGCACCUCGUCUUGAAAUAGCCUUUUAAAUGUUCACCUCAGCUUGCCUCACAGUGGUAAAAAUAAGCAUUUUUUUGUUUUGUAGGAUCAGGGAGCUUCCAAGGCAUUUGAUACCUUUUUGAUGGGAAGAAGGGCUCUGAGGAGCUCCAAGAUACCCCAACCUCCAGGCCCUUCAUUAGGGGGUAGUUGGGUUUCUGUUUGGCCUUUCCCCCUGGGCCCCAUAGGCUUAAACUACCCCCACCCCCACCUCCGCCUCCUACCUCAGCUGGGAGCACUGUCUUCCAUGGGGCUUCCACUUCUCUCCUCAACCUGGGGAAGACCACAGGGCAGUGCCUGCCUCAGGACCUGCCUUCCCCAAAAGCUGGCUUCUUGCUCCAAGGAGAGAGCAUUGACCCACCUGCCAGAGUCUUGCCUUUUGCCCAAAGGAGCCUGGUCUUCAGGGCUGCAUAGGAUGCAAGUGCCUUCUCUGCUUCUCACCGUGGGUGGCACUAAUUUCCUCCUUAACCAGAACUUUGUUCCAGCCACUGACCCAUUCUAACUCUUCCCCCUCUGACUCUCCUGCGCAGGGUCUGUUCCUGGUUUCCCAGAUGCAUAAAGGAAGACAUAUCCCUCCCCUGGGCAGCAAGGCUACAAUGGGAGGGAGGGAGAACAUGGGAGCAUGUGAAUAAAAUGGCAUUAAAUACUGAA